rnacentral:lncRNA from 1 species
GUCAAUUUAGAUCCAAUUUGUUUGCAAAUGUGCUUUAGAAAACACCAGAAAUGCAGUAGCGGAGCUUCAAAAAUGUAAACAUUUUCUGGGGGAGGACCCCCACACCCCCUUUUCUUAGAAAACUUAGUAUCACAGUGGAAGUCAAUCAGAAAAAGCUCUAUUAUAUAAUUAUUAUACUUCAGGUAGAUUUUUAACAUUAAAG